GGCUUGAGGAGUUUGAGCAGCAACAUUAUUAUUAUUAUUAUUGAUGCAAUUAGUACUAUAACCAGCAGCUGCAAUAUUAGUCAAGAACUCAGUGUGAGAAAUAGCUCUUAACCCCAAGAAAUCUCUUGUACUCAAUCCUGCUUGAUCACUACUUGAAUUAUGAUCACUUUUCUUGAAAACCCCUCCAAAUUCAUCUAAUUCAAAACAAGUCCCUCCUUGAU
rnacentral:misc_RNA from 1 species